AGUAACCUGCCCUGGAGUGGGGAAUAACAGCUGGAAACAGCUGCUAAUACCGCAUAAUGCAGUUGGGUCGCAUGGCUCUGACUGCCAAAGAUUUAUCGCUCUGGGAUGGACUCGCGUCUGAUUAGCUAGUUGGUGGGGCAACGGCCCACCAAGGCGACGAUCAGUAGCCGGACUGAGAGGUUGGCCGGCCACAUUGGGACUGAGACACGGCCCAGACUCCUACGGGAGGCAGCAG
rnacentral:rRNA from 1 species